AUUUUGUCAACGCCGUCCGUUCACUCUCUUCCAGGCCUGGAAGAGAGUGAACUGACGGCGCGGACAAAUUACCAAGUAAGGAUUGCAGCGAGUCAAUCCAGUCAAAAGUAUAGAGAACUAUUUUCCUAAAAAGGAAAAACGAAAUAAAACAAAUGAUUGAGCUCAUUUUGCUGAUGUGGAGCAUCUGAUCACGUGCGCAGAAGGCUGCAGAUCAGCAAAAAUAUCAUGUGUGAAUGCAUGGGAGUGAAUGUGAGUGAUGGGACCAAGAGGGGAAAUAAAUAAAAGGUUGACAAACAGGACAAGUGGGAGACUUAAAUCUGGGGAUGCUGAUUUUGGGAUAUUGAUGUGUGCGUUGAGAAAAUUAUUUAUUGGGGUUGGAUUAUGUUAUUACAUUAUAGGAUGUUAAAUGCUAAAAGGGAAACAUUGAUGUAACUUAAGUUACCAUGAACGGAGGGGACACAUGAUUAAUAACUGUUCUGUGUAAGUUUAUUUUGUGUUAUAACACAGGUUGGAUCAUCAGUGGAGAAAGUGAGUAUAAAAGGUGAUGUUCUGGUUAACACACAGGCUUUUGUUUAUAGGACGUUUCAAGGAUGCAGGCUGUGGAUGGAGCCAAGAAAAGAUUUGACAUGAUGAUUAAUUUGAUUUCAUUCCUUAAAAACAGGUUUGAAGGUCCGGAGCAUGUAGACUUAAUAUGAUAUGACUAACCUUUUUAAUGCCCUAACCUGAGUGAAGGAUUUUGAGUUUGUAACACAUGAGAUGUGUCACAAAAAGGG
ensembl:lncRNA